rnacentral:lncRNA from 1 species
AUUUCUGGAAAUAAACCACUUUGCUAAUCACAUAUUUUCAUCCCAGGAAUCAGAUAGGAUGAACGUAAUGUUAAUAUACUUGGAAAGAAACUGCAUAAAAAUAUAAAACAGUACUGUUCUUAAUGAGCUUAAACAAUAUAGCCUUGAAUAAUUUUUUUCUGAAAACUUAGAAGUACAUAAUAUAAAGCUUUGGAAGUCAGUGAGAUAAUGGUAGCUCUUUAGAAAUAAAAGUUAAGAAAUAUAAAAGUAACUAAGGUUUAUCCAUAAAUCCAGAGGUUGUUCUGAACUAAAGUAGGUGAGUUUGUAAGCUGUCACAUUUGCCAUGGUCCUCUUUGACCAGCUAAAUAAAUCCUGGCUGAACUUUGAAUACAUAUCUUCAGUUAGGUUGCUAAAGAUUUUUAGAAUGUUUUAAAAUGUACCAUUCAGGAAAUACA